rnacentral:antisense_RNA from 1 species
CGGCGCUGGAGGCUUUUGCCCCAGCCAGUUGUUUCACUGAUUGUCUGUGGCAGAAAGCAGAAAGCCCCGAAAAGCUAAUUUUAAUUAACUUAACGAGGCCACCUGUGAAAACUAGACACUUACACAGUAGCUUCAUACCCGCAGAAAUGCAAGGGAGCAUGAACAUG